GGAAUUUUCCACAAUGGACGAAAGUCUGAUGGAGCAACGCCGCGUGAACGAUGAAGGUCUUCGGAUUGUAAAGUUCUGUUGUCAGGGACGAACACGUACCGUUCGAACAGGGCGGUACCUUGACGGUACCUGACGAGAAAGCCACGGCUAACUACGUGCCAGCAGCCGCGGUAAUACGUAGGUGGCAAGCGUUGUCCGGAUUUAUUGGGCGUAAAGCGCGCGCAGGCGGCUAUGUAAGUCUGGUGUUAAAGCCCGGGGCUCAACCCCGGUUCGCAUCGGAAACUGUGUAGCUUGAGUGCAGAAGAGGAAAGCGGUAUUCCACGUGUAGCGGUGAAAUGCGUAGAGAUGUGGAGGAACACCAGUGGCGAAGGC
rnacentral:rRNA from 1 species